rnacentral:rRNA from 1 species
UACGGAGGGUGCAAGCGUUAUCCGGAUUCACUGGGUUUAAAGGGUGCGUAGGUGGGCAAGUAAGUCAGUGGUGAAAUCUCCGGGCUUAACCCGGAAACUGCCAUUGAUACUAUUUGUCUUGAAUACUGUGGAGGUCAGCGGAAUAUGUCAUGUAGCGGUGAAAUGCUUAGAUAUGACAUAGAACACCAAUUGCGAAGGCAGCUUACUACACAGUUAUUGACGCUGAGGCACGAAAGCGUGGGGAUCAAACAGG